rnacentral:rRNA from 1 species
UACGUAGGGUGCGAGCGUUUGUCCGGAAUUAUUGGGCGUAAAGGGCUCGUAGGCGGUUCGUCACGUCGGGAGUGAAAACUCGGGGCUUAACCCCGAGCCUGCUUCCGAUACUGCCCCGACUAGGAGGUAGGUAGGGGAGAUCGAAGAUUCCUUGGUGUAGCGGUGAAAUGCGCAGAUAUCAGGAGGAACACCGGUGGCGAAGGCGGAUCUCUGGGCCUUACCUGACGCUGAGGCGCGAAAGCUAGGGGAGCAAACAGG